GCCAGACUCCUACGGGAGGCAGCAGUGGGGGAUAUUGCACAAUGGGGGGAACCCUGAUGCAGCGACGCCGCGUGAAGGAAGAAGUAUCUCGGUAUGUAAACUUCUAUCAGCAGGGAAGAAAAUGACGGUACCUGACUAAGAAGCCCCGGCUAACUACGUGCCAGCAGCCGCGGUAAUACGUAGGGGGCAAGCGUUAUCCGGAUUUACUGGGCGUAAAGGGAGCGUAGACGGCGGUGCAAGCCAGAUGUGAAAGCCCGGGGCUCAACCCCGGGACUGCAUUUGGAACUGUGCUGCUAGAGUGUCGGAGAGGCAGGCGGAAUUCCUAGUGUAGCGGUGAAAUGCGUAGAUAUUAGGAGGAACACCAGUGGCGAAGGCGGCCUGCUGGACGAUGACUGACGUUGAGGCUCGAAAGCGUGGGGAGCAAACAGGAUUAGAUACCCUGGUA
rnacentral:rRNA from 1 species